GGGGACGACUUGGCUUCGACGUGGGUUGCAAAGCAGAGUAGGGCAUACCGAGGACCCGCAACCUCGUAAAUCAGCUGGAAAAAACUAGUCGCAAACGACGAAAACUACGCUUUAGCCGCUUAGUCGGCUAGACCUCACACCAUGCUGUCUGUGGAGUGGCUCAAGGCAGCAAUGCCGCGAUGAGUGAGGUACUAACACAGAAUCGUGUCGUGCAGGGUUACUUUGUACGAAGCUAAAACUAAGGUAACUCGUCCCGUACCAGCCCGCCAGUUGGCGUGUCCGGGAUUAAAUUAAAUAGCAUGGCUAAGUAUGUAGAACUGCCUGUAGAGUGCUUGCGGACGCGGGUUCAAUUCCCGCCGUCUCCACCA
rnacentral:tmRNA from 1 species